GUAGGUGGCAAGCGUUGUCCGGAAUUAUUGGGGCGUAAAGCGCGCGCAGGCGGUUCUUUAAGUCUGAUGUGAAAGCCCACGGGCUCAACCGUGGAGGGUCAUUGGAAACUGGAGAACUUGAGUACAGAAGAGGAAAGCGGAAUUCCACGUGUAGCGGUGAAAUGCGUAGAGAUGUGGAGGAACACCAGUGGCGAAGGCGGCUUUCUAGUCUGUAACUGACGCUGAGGCGCGAAAGCGUGGGGAGCAAACAGGAUUAGAUACCCUGGUAGUCCACGCCGUAAACGAUGAGUGCUAAGUGUUAGGGGGUUUCCGCCCCUUAGUGCUGCAGCUAACGCAUUAAGCACUCCGCCUGGGGAGUACGGCCGCAAAGGCUGA
rnacentral:rRNA from 1 species